GAUGAACGCUGGCGGCGUGCCUAAUACAUGCAAGUCGAGCGAACGGACGAGAAGCUUGCUUCUCUGAUGUUAGCGGCGGACGGGUGAGUAACACGUGGAUAACCUACCUAUAAGACUGGGAUAACUUCGGGAAACCGGAGCUAAUACCGGAUGAUAUUUUGAACCGCAUGGUUCAAAAGUGAAAGACGGUCUUGCUGUCACUUAUAGAUGGAUCCGCGCUGCAUUAGCUAGUUGGUAAGGUAACGGCUUACCAAGGCAACGAUGCAUAGCCGACCUGGGAGGGGGAUCGGCCACACGGGAACUGAGACACGGUCCAGACUCCUACGGGAGGCAGCAGUAGGGAAUCUUCCGCAAUGGGCGAAAGCCUGACGGAGCAACGCCGCGUGAGUGAUGAAGGUCUUCGGAUCGUAAAACUCUGUUAUUAGGGAAGAACAUAUGUGUAAGUAACUGUGCACAUCUUGACGGUACCUAAUCAGAAAGCCACGGCUAACUACGUG
rnacentral:rRNA from 1 species